GGGUCGUUAGCUCAGUCGGUAGAGCAGUUGACGCUUAAUCAAUGGGGCACAGGUUCGAACCCUGUACCACCCACCA
rnacentral:tRNA from 2 species